CUCGAAAAGUUAUGCGGAAUUGACUACUCGAACGUGUCAAUCAGAUACCAGACGAAGAAGUAAUCAUCAGACUGAUUUGAAGGGCAAGGUAGUCUUUUCACAAAUAGAACGACCCGGGGUUCCCUUAGAAAAAAGAGUGUAUGCAAUAGUAUUAUCCUUGGUCUUAUCUUCACCAUUGAGGAUCUAAUUUCUUAUUCUUUUACAUUCUCUCAUUCUUAUCUUCUUCUUCUUUCUCUCUUUUCUCCUCUUCUCCUGUUAUUCCUUCUCUGUCGAAUUCGAGAAAUUAAAUUAGAGUUUUGAGAUAGAAAUAGGUUGAGAAGAUCAUGGAGUUACUGAUAGUGAUUUUGUUGUUGUCUGUUGUUGAUUCAGACUUGAAGGAGAAAGUAAAUCAGAAGUUGGGGUUUCUAAGUUUUUGUAUUGAUUGAAGAUUCUUGAGAGUUGAAGAUGAGAUCGAAACAAGAGGAGGAAGACUAAGGAUGGGUAUUCAUUAUUUGUAGCAAAUAAGAUGAUUUACCAAGUGAUUCUCAAGCUACGGUGGAGGAUCGAUUAAUUGGGGUUUUGUUUGAGUUGCAAUUCGAAGCUAGAAUUUGUAAGAAGAACUCAGAUAAUGAUUUGAAGAUGAAAUUGACGUUCUAGGAUGAUGUGUUGAGAUGGGUAAUGAGUAAAUUGAAGAUUUAAUUUGAUAAUAUAUUUGAGUAUCUUUGAUUUAGGGUUCUUGAGUUUGGGUAGCAUAUGGAAAAGACGAGACUGUUGUUGAGUGGACUAAGAAGACUUCAGAGUUGGUACAUGAGGAUUGGAAUGAGUUUGGAAUGAAGCUGUGGGUGAAAUUUAGAUUAUUAUUGAGUUACAGGGGAUAACUGGUGGUGGUGAAUCCGAAGAAGAUGUUGAGUGUGGUUGUUGUGUAUGUUGUUGGUUCAUGAGAUACUCUUGCAGGUGGAUGUAACUGAAUGUGCUGGUGGUUUUUCUAGUGAAUUAUAGCCGAGUCUUCUCAGACUUGCAGGGGAGUUAGAUGAAUGUAUUUGGAAUUGGUGAAUGUUGUUGGUGGUGGUAUUGUUAUUGCUGUAAGUUAUAGUUGUGAUUGAUGUGGAUAAUAUAUUGUUUUGAAAUGGAAUUGGGCUGGUAUUGCAGAUGAUGUUGAGGUUGUUUUGUGUUGGUGUAGAUGUAUACAAUGGUUUUUUGCUGCUGCGAUACAGAGUUGCAUGCGAAAGAGUGAUGGAUGAUAGAAAUGGGGAUAAUGUUUAUGUAUGGAUUGGUUAUGGCUAUGGUGAAGUUGAAGAGGCAGUUCAUGAGAAUGGUGUUACUAAAUUUACAGAUUGUGUAGGCAGGUUCUGAAAUGGGGGUGUUGGAUUGAGUUUCAGUUUUAGAUGUUGGAAAUUGGUAUUGGUGGUUGUGUUGAUGACUGUUGGAUGAGCUGUGGUGAUUGAAAUGGAGCUCUCAAGUAAAGUCUAAUAAAUGUUUUUGAGAUUGUGUAUUAGAGAGAGUAAAAACGACAGGUUGGUUGGAGUUGAAAUAUUACAGAUGGAGGCAUGGAUAGAUGUUUAACUGAAGUGAUUUUAGUUCAUGGGUUGGUUGGUUAUGAAUUAGAGAGUGGUGAAAACGAGACCGGACUUAGUUUGAUGGUGCCGUCUGAACAUUUUUGCUGCAAAUUGACAUUGAGUUGGUAAUGUUAAGGUAAUGAUGUUGUAGUGAGAGUUGAGUUUGAGUUUCAAUUGGAACAACAUAAGAAUUAGUAUAACUCUUAGAUUUUGUAUGUGCUGAUAGGAUGUACAAGCUGAAGUAGAUUGUAAUGUUGUCAUGGCAGUGAUCUUAGUGAAAGGCUGCAAUUGCAGAUCAAGGCAAUCUUAAAUUGCAGAUGCAUUGGAAUUCUGUUUAAGUGAAGGAUUUGUGCAAUGUUGUAAUGAAUAGAAUCAGGUUAA